GGAGGUUUAGCUCAGCGGCAUAAGUGCCUGCCUUGCAAGCAGGCAGUUGUGAGUUUGAUCCCCGCUACCUAUA
rfam:Cavia porcellus supercont2_5 genomic scaffold, whole genome shotgun sequence.